rnacentral:lncRNA from 1 species
CGGCAACGUGAUUUUGUCCCGGUGGAUGAAGGCAAGGUAGUCCGCAAUCAAUCACUGGAUCAAAUUCAAGCACGACACGAUGACUCCCCGGUGUGGAAAGGAGGCAGUCUACAAAUGCGCGUCCUUCAGCGGUAACAAUUUUCAAUGGAUAGGGAGCGGCUCGGCACCCACACUCAAAAACACAGUCGAGACGAUUAAACAACACCAACAAACCGACAGCUUAGCAGUAGGAAUUUGGGGGCCCAAGGUUAACAAAAUGAACCUACUGUUGUGGAGGCUACGGUGGAGGAAGGUUCCGAUCCUGUAUCGAAUUCAGAGGAGAAGCUUGGUAGGUCCAAUAAGAUGUGUGUUAUGUGCUAACGACGUGAAGACGAUCGACCAUGUCUUCCACAAUUGCUCUUUCUCCGGGUAAGUAAUUGAAAAAUGUUUAGCGGUAGCAGGGAACUUGAUCAGAGUAGGGUCUAAUCGGACUUUCAGCUCAGUCGUUGAAUCCAUACAUGCACUCACCAAUCAUUCAAAGGAUUGGGCUACUGGGAGCGGAAUGAAAGGAAAAUCGGCUACCGCCAGAAUAGCUUCAGGAAGGAGAAAUGGAAUAGGAAAGCGUCCUAUGUAGUUUCGCCAACUGGUAAGCUUCUUCAGCCUCCAGAACUGCCGACUGCAUCGUUUAACUUGUUUAUCUACAUAUAGUUUAAAUCAUAGACAUAUGACUGCCUACAGCCUUAUACAGGAUAUUGUAGUAAUAACUAAUGAAUGCUCAUAAAUCAAUAAACAUACUACAUGAUUUUAACAUCGAUAAAAUUGUUUAAAUGAAGUUUGACAUAUUGUUUCUCUGAAAUAAUAUUCUUAUUCUAAUAAAUCGUUAGGUUUAUAAUUUAUAAAAUAUUAUUGCAACAAAAUGUCCACCAAUAAAAAUGCUGUUG